rnacentral:rRNA from 1 species
UACGGAGGGUGCAAGCGUUGUCCGGAAUCACUGGGCGUAAAGGGUGCGUAGGCGGUUCUAUAAGUCAGUGGUGAAAUCCGGCAGCUCAACUGUCGAUGUGCCAUUGAUACUGCAGAACUUGAGUACAGACGAGGUAGGCGGAAUUGACGGUGUAGCGGUGAAAUGCUUAGAUAUCGUCAAGAACACCGAUAGCGAAGGCAGCUUACUAGACUGUAACUGACGCUGAUGCACGAAAGUGUGGGGAUCAAACAGG